AAUGAACGCUGGCGGCGCGCCUAAUACAUGCAAGUCGAGCGAGAAGACGUAGCAAUACGUUUGUAAAGCGGCGAACGGGUGAGGAAUACAUGGGUAACCUACCCUAGAGUGGGGAAUAACUAGCCGAAAGGUUAGCUAAUACCGCGUACGCUCCUUGGACUUCGGUUCAGGGAGGAAAGCGAUGCCGAGGGUAUCGCGCUCUUGGAUGGGCUCAUGUCCUAUCAGCUUGNGGUGAGGUAACGGCUCACCAAGGCUUCGACGGGUAGCUGGUCUGAGAGGACGAUCAGCCACACUGGCACUGCGACACGGGCCAGACUCCUACGGGAGCAGCAGUAAGAUAUUGCGCAAUGGGCGAAAGCCUGACGCAGCGACGCCGCGUGGGGGAUGAA
rnacentral:rRNA from 1 species